CUCCUAUAAAUUGGCAAGAUGGCCACUGCCAGCCCCUCCGUCAUUGAUUGACACCCGUCAAACUAGACUCGGCUCCUCUUCUUCGUCCCAAAGUAAGACCGUUCCUGACCUUCUCCUCUCCUCUCUGCUCAACUACUUCCGAUCGUCCUGCCCCGUCCUAAAUUGUACUUACUCGCGUUCGCAUAAAAUAAAAAUGACUGAUUUAUUACGACCACUACAUUGACAUCAGCACCUUCUGUUCUAUCACCGUCACCUGCCUACUAAUAGGCAGGUGACGACCCUUUGGUAGAUGUUCCUCCAGGACCAGGGUUGGGAGAUGCAGCACUAGAACCACUGAACACCAAGAAGAAUAGUUUUCAUUUCUGGG
rnacentral:lncRNA from 1 species